CGGCCACUGAAGUGCCCAAGCAUGUGACCUUAAAUCCUCAGGAUCCUCAGCAGGACUUUCCAAAAGUUAUGGGCAUUAUUCCCUCUUUUCUCCACUCCCACCCCCAGCCCAACUCAUGUCGAUUCAUUCUAUUCCUAGACUCUCAGUCCCCUCAGAACAAGUUUAGGUAGAGAAGCUACAUUUCUGGAGGCUCACUUUUUUUUUUCAUUGUUUGUUUUUAUUUCCUAGCAAAUAAAACCACCCCUUAAAAAAAAAAAUCCCAAUUCCACAAGCAUUUCAGGAAUGAAAUUCCCAGCACUGUGUUAAACACAGACACAAGAUACCUUAGACACAUCAAUGGACCCAUACCCUAGAAAGGUAUGUACAUAUCAGCAGAAACUGUAAUAAUGUGAUAGAAGUAGAUGAACAGACUGGACACUGAAGGGGACUGUCUUGACCAGCCUGGGCAAAGGCUGAGCAGAGUCUUCAAGGACAAAUACAACUCACUCAGACAGAAAAAAUGCAGUCAGAGGCAUGUCUAGGCAGAAGCCAGAAAGUAUGAGGAAUGGACUAUAAGAAACGGAUUAUUCCUGGAAGAUAAAGGGAAAGACUUAGAUAUAAGCAGGGUCCAGAUUUAUGUUAGGGAACUUGUACUUGAUGGUGUUAGCCAUGGUCAUAGGUGCAUUUUACAAGUGUGGCAGAUAAGGAUAGGAAUCCUGGGGAAAGAUUCACUUACAUUCAGAAGACUUGAGUUCUAAUCUCAGCAUCACAGCUCGCCACAGUUUAGGCCAGUCACGUGACUCCAGAAACAGAAGUUUCUGUUAUUUAUAAACUAGAAAUAAUGACACUUGGCCUGACCCCUAUGGAGCUGUGGUGAGGAUCAAACAAGUUGAGACAAGAUUUUCUGAAAGUACUGUGCAAACUUUCAGCCCGUAAAUAUUAAGGGACUGUUAUCACGUACUGCUCAGGAAAUAACAGCACCUGGGAAAACCCACAGAGCGUGGUUUUGUAAGAAGUUGCUCAGCCCUCAAGGGAGAAAAUGCCAGGCUCAACAUUGGCCAAGAGGAACAGAUCUGGGAAAUUACGACACGAGCUGCCUUCCAGAAAGGACUGGUGUCCUGGUGAAAAGCACAAACCCAAGCCCAGCAAGCUAUCCUCACAGCACUGCUUCAUAGCCACUCAGACCCUUAAAAAUGAGAGAAAGAAAGAAA